rnacentral:rRNA from 1 species
GACGAACGCUGGCGGCGUGCCUAAUACAUGCAAGUAGAACGCACAGUUUAUACCGUAGCUUGCUACACCAUAGACUGUGAGUUGCGAACGGGUGAGUAACGCGUAGGUAACCUGCCUGGUAGCGGGGGAUAACUAUUGGAAACGAUAGCUAAUACCGCAUAAUAUUAAUUAUUGCAUGAUAAUUAAUUGAAAGGUGCAAUUGCACCACUACCAGAUGGACCUGCGUUGUAUUAGCUAGUAGGUGAGGUAACGGCUCACCUAGGCGACGAUACAUAGCCGACCUGAGAGGGUGAUCGGCCAACCUGGGACUGGGACACGGCCCAGACUCCUACGGGAGGCAGCAGUAGGGAAUCUUCGGCAAUGGACGAAAGUCUGACCGAGCAACGCCGCGUGAGUGAAGAAGGUUUUCGGAUCGUAAAGCUCUGUUGUAAGAGAAGAACGGGUGUGAGAGUGGAAAGUUCACACUGUGACGGUAUCUUACCAGAAAGGGACGGCUAACUACGUG